rnacentral:rRNA from 1 species
ACUGCUCAGUAACACGUAGUCAACAUGCCCAAAGGACGUGGAUAACCUCGGGAAACUGAGGAUAAACCGCGAUAGGUCAUAAGUACUGGAAUGUUUUAUGGCUCAAAUCUACAUGGCCUCUGGAUUGGACUGCGGCCGAUCAGGCUGUUGGUGAGGUAAUGGCCCACCAAACCUGUUACCGGUACGGGCUCUGAGAGGAGGAGCCCGGAGAUGGGCACUGAGACAAGGACCCAGGCCCUAUGGGGCGCAGCAGGCGCGAAACCUCUGCAAUAGGCGAAAGCUUGACAGGGUUACUCUGAGUGAUUCCCGCUAAGGGAAUCUUUUGGCAUCUCUAAAAACGAUGUAGAAUAAGGGGUGGGCAAGUCUGGUGUCAGCCGCCGCGGUAAUACCAGCACCCCGAGUGGUCGGGACGAUUAUUGGGCCUAAAGCAUCCGUAGCCGGUCUUGCAAGUCUUCCGUUAAAUCCACCUGCUUAACAGAUGGGCUGCGGAAGAUACUACAAGACUAGGAGGCGGGAGAGGCAAGCGGUACUCAGUGGGUAGGGGUAAAAUCCUCUGAUCCAUUGAAGACCACCAGUGGCGAAGGCGGCUUGCCAGAACGCGCUCGACGGUGAGGGAUGAAAGCUGGGGGAGCAAACCGGAUUAGAUACCCGGGUAGUCCCAGCUGUAAACGAUGCAGACUCGGUGAUGGGCCGGCUUCAUGCCGGCUCAGUGCCGCAGGGAAGCCGUUAAGUCUGCCGCCUGGGGAGUACGGUCGCAAGACUGAAACUUAAAGGAAUUGGCGGGGGAGCA